rnacentral:tRNA from 1 species
GGGGGUAUAGCUCAGUUGGGAGAGCACCUGCCUUGCACUUGCACGGGGGGUCAGGAGUUCGAAUCUCCUUACCUCCACCA